rnacentral:rRNA from 1 species
AUUGAACGCUGGCGGCAGGCCUAACACAUGCAAGUCGAGCGGAUGAAGGGAGCUUGCUCCUGGAUUCAGCGGCGGACGGGUGAGUAAUGCCUAGGAAUCUGCCUGGUCGUGGGGGAUAACGUCCGGAAACGGGCGCUUAUACCGCAUACGUCCUGAGGGCGACAGUGGGUGAUCUUCGGACCUCACGCUAUCAGAUGAGCCUAGGUUGGAUUAGCUAGUUGGUGGGGUAAAGGCCUACCAAGGCUACGAUCCGUAACUGGUCUGAGAGGAUGAUCAGUCACACUGGAUGUGAGACAGGGUCCAGACUCCUACGGGAGGCAGCAGUGGGGAAUAUUGGACAAUGGGCGAGAGCCUGAUCCAGGCAUGCGGCGUGUGUGAAGAAGGUCUUAGGAUUGUAGAGCGAUUUAAGUUGGGAGGAAGGGCAGUAAGUUAAUACCUUGUUGUAUUGACGUUACCAACAGAAUAAGCACCGGCUAACUUCGUG